UAAUACGGAGGGUGCAAGCGUUGUUCGGAAUUACUGGGCGUAAAGAGCGUGUAGGCGGUUAAUUAAGUCAGAUGUGAAAGCCCUGGGCUCAACCCAGGAAGUGCAUUUGAAACUAAUUAGCUAGAGUACGAGAGAGGAAGGUAGAAUUCCUGGUGUAGAGGUGAAAUUCAUAGAUAUCGGGAAGAAUACCGGUGGCGAAGGCGGCCUUCUGGCUCGAUACUGACGCUGAGACGCGAAAGCGUGGGGAGCAAACAGGAUUAGAUACCCUGGUAGUCCACGCCGUAAACGUUGGGCACUAGGUGUGGGAGGUAUUUAUUCCUUCUGUGCCGGAGUUAACGCAUUAAGUGCCCCGCCUGGGGAGUACGGUCGCAAGGCUA
rnacentral:rRNA from 1 species